AGCAGCCGCGGUAAUUCCAGCUCCAAUAGCGUAUAUUAAAGUUGUUGCAGUUAAAAAGCUCGUAGUUGAAUUUCGGGGUUAGCAGGUUGGUCGUGCCAAUGGUAUGCACUGGCCUUGCUGAUUCCUCCCUCUUGAUGAGCCGUAAUGCCAUUAAUUUGGUGUUGCGGGGAAUCAGGACUGUUACUUUGAAAAAAUUAGAGUGUUUAAAGCAGGCAAGCGCUUGAAUACAUUAGCAUGGAAUAAUGAAAUAGGACGUUUGAUCCUAUUUUGUUGGUUUCUAGGAUUGACGUAAUGAUUAAUAGGGAUAGUUGGGGGCAUUAGUAUUCAAUUGUCAGAGGUGAAAUUCUUGGAUUUAUUGAAGACUAACUACUGCGAAAGCAUUUGCCAAGGAUGUUUUCAUUAAUCAAGAACGAAAGUUAGGGGAUCGAAGACGAUCAGAUACCGUCGUAGUCUUAACCAUAAACUAUGCCGACUAGGGAUCGGAUGAUGUUAAUUUUUUAAUGACUCAUUC
rnacentral:rRNA from 1 species